rnacentral:rRNA from 1 species
AUCAACUUUCGAUGGUAGGAUAGAGGCCUACCAUGGUGGUGACGGGUGACGGAGAAUUAGGGUUCGAUUCCGGAGAGGGAGCCUGAGAAACGGCUACCACAUCCAAGGAAGGCAGCAGGCGCGCAACUUACCCACUCCCGGCACGGGGAGGUAGUGACAAUAAAUAACAAUACAGGGUUCUUUUGGAUCUUGUAAUUGGAAUGAGUACAAUUUAAAUCUCUUAACGAGGAACAAUUGGAGGGCAAGUCUGGUGCCAGCAGCCGCGGUAAUUCCAGCUCCAAUAGCGUAUAUUAAAGUUGUUGCAGUUAAAAAGCUCGUAGUUGAAUUUCGGGAUCAAUAUUUCGGUCAUGCCGUUGGUAUGCACUGUUAUCAUUGAUUUCUCACCUUCUAAAGAACCGUAAUGCCAUUAAUUUGGUGUUACGGGGAAUUAGGACUGUUACCUUGAAAAAAUUAGAGUGUUUAAAGCAGGCUCACGCUUGAAUACAUUAGCAUGGAAUAAUGAAAUAGGACAUCCGAUUCUAUUUUGUUGGUUUCUAGGAUCGAUGUAAUGAUUAAUAGGGAUAGUUGGGGGCAUUAGUAUUCAAUUGUCAGAGGUGAAAUUCUUGGAUUUAUUGAAGACUAACUACUGCGAAAGCAUUUGCCAAGGAUGUUUUCAUUAAUCAAGAACGAAAGUUAGGGGAUCGAAGACGAUCAGAUACCGUCGUAGUCUUAACCAUAAACUAUGCCGACUAGGGAUCGGAUGAUGUUAAUUUUUUAAUGACUCAUUCGGCGCCUUACGGGAAACCAAAGUGUUUGGGUUC